CAAAAGUACAGUUGCCAGAGCUGUGGGAAGAAGGAGCAGAAAAAUCUCAGCGCUUUAGAGGACUGAGCUCUGAGUAACAGCAGAGCUAGAGACCAACUGACCCUUGUUCUUUGUGUGCUGCCGGGAGCCGGGAAGGGUGAGAUGGUUUGGAUCUCCCUCAUGGCUGAGAGUGUCGAGCAUGUGUCCAUGUGUUUACCGGUGCAUCUCCUUCUGCUGUGUCUUUUGAUGGAUGGACCAACUUACUUCUGUGUGCAAGUUCCUGACGCGGCUCCUUAUCCCAAGUCCUGCGGAGUCCUGUGGAUGUGACCUACUUUGGAAAGGGCUCUCAGGGAGCUGGGUGUGGGGUACAAGACUGCAACCCCAGCAACGCGGAGGUGCAGGCAGGAGAACCAGGAGUUCAAGAUCAUCCUAACUACAAAGCAGAAUGCCCAUCCCGGAGGACACCAGGAACAAUAAACGCUGGUGUGACGGAUGUGUUGGUUGUGAACAAGUACAGACAGACACUUUGGAAAUUGCUCUGGAGAGGUCUCAAAAGAUUAAAAAUAAAACGACCAUG